rnacentral:rRNA from 1 species
UACAGAGGUCUCAACCGUUGUUCGGAUUCAUUGGGCGUAAAGGGUGCGUAGGCGGUCGGGCAAGUCGGAUGUGAAAUCUCAGGGCUCAACCCUGAAACUGCAUUCGAUACUGCCUGGCUAGGGUACUGGAGAGGAGACUGGAAUUUACGGUGUAGCAGUGAAAUGCGUAGAUAUCGUAAGGAAGACCAGUGGCGAAGGCGAGUCUCUGGACAGUUACCGACGCUGAGGCACGAAGGCCAGGGGAGCAAACGGG